rnacentral:tRNA from 1 species
UGGAUCACCUCCUAACAGGGAGACAACAAAAUGUUUAAUAUUAUUAUUUUGUCACCUUAGGUCGAUCGGUAUCUCACGUUCUUAAUUAAUUAAGAAUUUCAGUUUCUAAGUUUUUCUAGGUCACACCCAUUAUUUUUCCUGGGCCAUUAGCUCAGGUGGUUAGAGCGCACCCCUGAUAAGGGUGAGGUCCCUGGUUCAAGUCCAGGAUGGCCCAUAUCUCUAUGUUGGGGGUAUAGCUCAGUUGGUAGAGCGCCUGCUUUGCAAGCAGGAUGUCAGCGGUUCGAGUCCGCUUACCUCCACUGAUUACCACCUCUUCCAUAACCGGUAUUAAAGGAAAUGUUUUGAGUUGUGAUCAAAUUCUGAAAGAAUCUAGCUUCCUAAUGAAAUCAUUAAGAUGCUGGACUCAUUGAAUUGAUUUCAUUGUUUUCAGAGAACCUUGACAACUGCAUAGAUUAUUUUUAAAGACAAUAAGCAUCUUUAAUGAUGCAGAUUUAUUAUUUGUGCGAAUGCAUUAAUAACAAUUCUAUUAAGCUGAUGCUUCAAUUUUUGAAGUUAUUGGUCAAGCUACAAAGGGCUCACGGAGGAUACCUAGGCACACAGAGGCGAUGAAGG